GCCUGGGUGGCUCAGUCGGUUAAGCGUCCGACUUCAGCUCAGGUCACAAUCUCGCGAUCCGUGAGUUUGAGCCCCGCCUCGGGCU
rfam:Felis catus isolate Cinnamon breed Abyssinian chromosome D2, whole genome shotgun sequence.